rnacentral:rRNA from 1 species
CCUACGGGAGGCAGCAGUGGGGGAUAUUGCACAAUGGGCGAAAGCCUGAUGCAGCGACGCCGCGUGAGGGAAGACGGUCUUCGGAUUGUAAACCUCUGUCUUUGGGGAAGAAAUCAGACGGUACCCAAAGAGGAAGCUCCGGCUAACUACGUGCCAGCAGCCGCGGUAAUACGUAGGGAGCGAGCGUUGUCCGGAAUUACUGGGUGUAAAGGGAGCGUAGGCGGGCUUGUAAGUUGAAUGUCUAAUCCACCGGCUCAACCGGUGAUCGCGUUCAAAACUGCAGGUCUUGAGUGAAGUAGAGGCAGGCGGAAUUCCUAGUGUAGCGGUGAAAUGCGUAGAUAUUAGGAGGAACACCAGUGGCGAAGGCGGCCUGCUGGGCUUUAACUGACGCUGAGGCUCGAAAGCGUGGGGAGCAAACAGGAUUAGAUACCCGAGUAG